AGGGCAUUUCAAAGAGAGCUUCUGGGACUAAAACUAGGAGGUUGUAACACUGUAACCUAAGAUGGAAGUUCUCCACAGGAAGUAAUAGACAUUCGAUAGUGCCAUGUUUUCCUGAGGAGACACAGGA